rnacentral:rRNA from 1 species
GACGAACGCUGGCGGCGUGCCUAACACAUGCAAGUCGAGCGAACGGACGAGAAGUUUGCUUCUCUGAUGUUAGCGGAGGACGGGUGAGUAACAUGUGGAUAUCCUACCUAUAAGACUGGGAUAACUUCGGGAAACCGGAUCUAAUACCGGAUAAUAUUUUGAACCGCAUUGUUCAAAAGUGAAAGUCGGUCUUGCUGUCACUAAUAGAUGCAUCCGCGCUGCAUUAGCUAGUUGGUAAGGUAACGGCUUACCAAGGCGACGAUGCAUAGCCGACCUGAGAGGGUGGUCGGCCACACGGGAGCUGAGACACGGUCCAGACGCCUGCGGGAGGCAGCAGUCGGGAAUCUUACGCAAUGGGCGAGAGCAUGACGGAGCAGCGCGGCGUGAGUGGUGAAGGUCUUCGGAUCGUGAAGCUCUGUUAUUAGGGGAGAACAGAUGUGGAAGUAACCGUGCACAUAUUGACGGUACCGGGUCAAAAAGCCACGGCUAACUACGUG